UAUAAGGCAAUAGGAUGUUAUUGAAGUAUAGUUUCUAACUUUUUUUUUUUUUGCUUGUUUGUUAUUAAGGUGGAAAUACAUUGUUUCUGUUUUGCUCAUGCUUGGGAUGAUCCUCCAGUCAACAAAGAACUUCCCCAGAACUUUUAGGUUCUCUGUGAGGGAGCUGUCAGCAUCCUCCAUAUGUUUAUCUUGGGCUGCUUCGGCUACGUUAUCCAUGCAAACAAAUUUCCAUCCUUUGGUAACUGGCAUGUCAAAUGGGUUGAACAAUGUGGGAGCCAGCACAGAGAGCUCUGUUUAUCGUCUGGGUACAAACAAGAGCAAACUGAAUAUUAUAUGAUAUGGGAAGUAUUUUAUCAAUGGUUGGAGAAUAAAAAUGGAGUUUGGAAAUGAAAAAACGAAAUGAAGAAGACUAAAGAAUAGAGCUGCUCCCAUACCAUGCAAGAAUGCUGUAUGUCAGAUGACCUCAUAAGAACCAUGGAGAAAGACAGAAAAAGAGAAAACAUAAAGAAGAUAAAGACUUGGUGUUUCUCAUGGUUUGGGUGAGCUAAUAUCCAACAGAAGAGUUAAGGGUCUCUGGGCUGGAGGUGAGAUA